rnacentral:rRNA from 1 species
GACAAACGCUGGCGGCGUGCUUAACACAUGCAAGUCGAACGGUAAGGCCCUUCGGGGUACACGAGUGGCGAACGGGUGAGUAACACGUGGGUGAUCUGCCCUGCACUUCGGGAUAAGCCUGGGAAACUGGGUCUAAUACCGGAUAGGACUCCGGACUGCAUGGUCUGGGGUGGAAAGCUUUUGCGGUGUGGGAUGGGCCCGCGGCCUAUCAGCUUGUUGGUGGGGUGAUGGCCUACCAAGGCGACGACGGGUAGCCGGCCUGAGAGGGUGACCGGCCACACUGGGACUGUGACACGGCCCAGACGCCUACGGGAGGCAGCAGUGGGGAAUAUUGCACAAUGGGCGCAAGCCUGAUGCAGCGACGCCGCGUGAGGGAUGACGGCCUUCGGGUUGUAAACCUCUUUCAGCAUCGACGAAGCGAAAGUGACGGUAGGUGCAGAAGAAGGACCGGCCAACUACGUGCCAGCCGCCGCGGUAA